rnacentral:rRNA from 1 species
GACAGAGGGUGCAAACGUUGCUCGGAAUUACUGGGCGUAAAGCGCGUGUAGGCGGACCCGCAAGUCGGACGUGAAAUCCCUGAGCUCAACUCAGGAACUGCAUCCGAAACUGCGGGUUUGGAGUGGUGGAGAGGGAAGCAGAAUUCCUGGUGUAGAGGUGAAAUUCGUAGAUAUCAGGAGGAACACCGGUGGCGAAGGCGGCUUCCUGGACACUUACUGACGCUGAGACGCGAAAGCGUGGGGAGCAAACAGG